rnacentral:rRNA from 1 species
GGCUCAGGACGAACGCUGGCGGCGUGCCUAAUACAUGCAAGUCGAACGGUCUUUUCUAUGGAAGCUUGCUUCCACUGAAAAGAUAGUGGCGAACGGGUGAGUAACACGUGGGUAACCUGCCCAUAAGAGGGGGGAUAACAUCCGGAAACGGGUGCUAAUACCGCAUAGUUUUCUUGAUCGCAUGAUCGGGAAAGGAAAGACGGCCUUUGUGCUGUCGCUUAUGGAUGGACCCGCGGCGUAUUAGUUAGUUGGUGAGGUAACGGCUCACCAAGACGAUGAUACGUAGCCGACCUGAGAGGGUGAUCGGCCACAUUGGGACUGAGACACGGCCCAAACUCCUACGGGAGGCAGCAGUAGGGAAUCUUCCGCAAUGGACGAAAGUCUGACGGAGCAACGCCGCGUGAGUGAAGAAAGGUUUUCGGAUCGUAAAACUCUGUUGUCAGAGAAGAACAAGUUGGAGAGUAACUGCUCCAGCCUUGACGGUAUCUGACCAGAAAGCCACGGCUAACUACGUGCCAGCCGCUGC